rnacentral:ncRNA from 1 species
UACUCAAGUUGAGCGUCGAGACUCGUUUUAUAUAUUGGUUGCUUGAAACGAGAGGAGCUAGUAGCGAAACCUCCAGCUUUAGUG